UACGUAGGGGGCUAGCGUUGUCCGGAAUCAUUGGGCGUAAAGAGCGUGUAGGCGGUCCGGUAAGUCCGCUGUGAAAGUCGGGGGCUCAACCCUCGGAUGCCGGUGGAUACUGUCGGGCUAGAGUGCGGGAGAGGCGAGUGGAAUUCCUGGUGUAGCGGUGAAAUGCGUAGAUAUCUGGAGGAACACCGGUGGCGAAGGCGGCAUCCUGGACCGGUAUUGACGCUGAGGCGCGAAAGCCAGGGGAGCAAACGGG
rnacentral:rRNA from 1 species